CAGGAUAACUCCUCCAUCAGUCGUCCCUCCCCUAGCCUCCAUUUCCUCUGCAAUCUGGUUCUUAGCUGUUGUGGAGCAGGGUGGGCUUGGCAGCAGUUGUGAAACAACAACAAAAGACCCUGGAACAAGAAGUCCUCAUGGUGGUGUUACCAGGAAGCUGUGCUGCCUGAAGAAUCAUCAGUUAAUCAAUUGUCAGCUAUUGGUGUGUUGAAGUCCUCAAGAUGUCAAAGCCCCAGUGAUUUCUCUGGGAUUAUAGUUACUCUUUUGAAGGUCCUCCGCUCUCCAGAGGACUCAGACAUGAUUCCAUUUGGUUGGAGGAUGCUGAAUCAAUACAAGCAUAUGAGACUUCAUUAAUAAAGUAAAUGAUGGAUAAAAUAAAAUGAAGAAUAGCUGAA